rnacentral:pre_miRNA from 1 species
CAGGGCUGAUCCCCUUUCCUUAACUCAUGCCGCUGUGCCUCUUCAUUUAUUUCACAAUAGUGUGAGUUGAGUACAGAGUGUCAGUCCA